rfam:Sus scrofa isolate TJ Tabasco breed Duroc chromosome 18, whole genome shotgun sequence.
UUCUAGGUGGUCUAGUGGCUAGGAUUCCUGGUUUUCAUCCAGACUGCCCAGGUUCAAUUUCUGAGCAGAGAAU